UGGUUUCCGGAUAACUCAAGAACGCAUACGCCUAGGAUCAUGAAACUUCAUGGGUAGAUUGAUCAUGACUCGCAGAUGACCCCUAUUGAUUUUGAGGUCACUAGGUCAAAGGUCAAGGUGACCCGAAAUAGUAAAAUGGUUUUCGGAUGAUAACUCAAGAAUGCAUACGCCUAGGAUCAUGAAACUUCAUGGGUAGAUUGAUCAUGACUCGCAUAUGACCCCUAUUGAUUUUGAGGUCACUAGGUCAAAGGUCAAGGUCACGGUGACCCGAAAUAGUAAAA